GGUCAAGCGAAUCAAGCGCAUACGGUGGAUGCCUUGGCGGUAAGAGGCGAUGAAGGACGUGGUAGUCUGCGAUAAGCCCCGGGUAGCCGGCAAACAGGCAUUGAUCCGGGGAUUUCCGAAUGGGGAAACCCGCCGCAUUUAUGCGGCAUUGCGCGCUGAAUCCAUAGGCGCGUGAAGCGAACCUGGCGAACUGAAACAUCUAAGUAGCCAGAGGAAAAGAAAUCAACCGAGAUUCCCCAAGUAGCGGCGAGCGAACGGGGAACAGCCAGCACUCUUUAGUCUGCAGUCCAGUUGAACGGUCUGGAAAGUCCGGCCAUAGCGGGUGACAGCCCCGUAGGCGAAAGACUACAGACAGAACCAGGUGUGCGACAAGUAGGGCGGGGCACGUGAAACCCUGUCUGAACAUGGGGGGACCAUCCUCCAAGGCUAAAUACUCCUUACCGACCGAUAGCGAACCAGUACCGUGAGGGAAAGGCGAAAAGAACCCCUGUUAGGGGAGUGAAAUAGAACCUGAAACCGUGUGCGUACAAGCAGUGGGAGCCUUUUGUGCCGGAGCAAUCCGGUGCAGGGGUGACCGCGUACCUUUUGUAUAAUGGGUCAGCGAGUUACUUUUCGCGGCAAGGUUAACCGUGUAGGGGAGCCGUAGCGAAAGCGAGUCUUAACCGGGCGCAAGUCGCGUGAAGUAGACCCGAAACCGGACGAUCUAUCCAUGGCCAGGUUGAAGGUGGGGUAAUACUCACUGGAGGACCGAACCAACUGAUGUUGAAAAAUCAGUGGAUGAGCUGUGGAUAGGAGUGAAAGGCUAAACAAGUCCGGAGAUAGCUGGUUCUCACCGAAAACUAUUUAGGUAGUGCCUCGUGUUUCACUCUCGGGGGUAGAGCACUGUUAUGGCUAGGGCUGCACCUCGCGGUACCAAACCAUUGCAAACUCCGAAUACCGGGAAGUGCAAUCACGGGAGACAGACUGCGGGAGAUAAGUUUCGUAGUCGAAAGGGAAACAGCCCAGACCGCCGACUAAGGUCCUCAAAUCACAGCUCAGUGGGAAACGAUGUGGGAAGGCCCAGACAGCCAGGAGGUUGGCUUAGAAGCAGCCAUCCUUUAAAGAAAGCGUAACAGCUCACUGGUCAAGUCAGCCUGCGCGGAAGAUAUACCGGGGCUCAAGCUGUGUACCGAAGUUGCGGGUGCGUGCAUUCCUUGGAAUGCGCGCACGGUAGGUGAGCGUUCCGUAGGCCUGCGAAGGUGCGUCGCAAGACGUGCUGGAGGUAUCGGAAGUGAGAAUGCUGACAUGAGUAGCGAUAAAGGAGGUGAAAUACCUCCUCGCCGAAAGCCCAAGGUUUCCUGCGCAACGUUAAUCGGCGCAGGGUGAGUCGGAUCCUAAGGCGAGGCCGAAAGGCGUAGUCGAUGGACAACAGGCUAAUAUUCCUGUACCGCGCAUAACUGCGAUGGGGGGACGGAGAAGGCUAAGUCGGCCGGGUGUCGGAUGUCCCGGUGAAAGCGUGUAGGGAGUGCUCCCAGGAAAAUCCGGGAGUGCAAUCCCGAGACGUGAUGACGAGCUCCAUUUGGAGCGAAGCGGCUGAUGCCAUGCUUCCAGGAAAAUCCUCUAAGCCUCAGGUUAUGUGCGACCGUACCCCAAACCGACACAGGUGGGCGGGGUGAGAAGCCCAAGGCGCUUGAGAUAACUCGGGUGAAGGAACUCGGCAAAAUGACACCGUAACUUCGGGAGAAGGUGUGCCCCCGGUUGGUGAAGGCCCUCGCGGCCGGAGCCCGAAGGGGUUGCAACAAAGAGGUGGCUGCGACUGUUUACUAAAAACAUAGCACUCUGCGAACUCGCAAGAGGAAGUAUAGGGUGUGACGCCUGCCCGGUGCCGGAAGGUUAAAUGAUGGGGUUAGCCGCUUGCGGCGAAGCUCUUGAUUGAAGCCCCGGUGAACGGCGGCCGUAACUAUAACGGUCCUAAGGUAGCGAAAUUCCUUGUCGGGUAAGUUCCGACCUGCACGAAUGGCGUAACGAUGGCCACACUGUCUCCACCCGGGACUCAGUGAAAUUGAACUUGCUGUUAAGAUGCAGUGUACCCGCGGCUAGACGGAAAGACCCCGUGAACCUUUACUACAGCUUUACACUGAACUUUGAGCCUGCCUGUGCAGGAUAGGUGGGAGGCUUUGAAACCGGAACGCCAGUUUCGGUGGAGCCAACCUUGAGAUACCACCCUUGCAUGUUUGGAGUUCUAACCCGGGCGCGUUAUCCGCGCCGGGAACAGUGUAUGGUGGGUAGUUUGACUGGGGCGGUCUCCUCCCAAAGAGUAACGGAGGAGCGCGAAGGUGCUCUAAGCACGGUCGGAAAUCGUGCGGUUUGUGCAAAGGCACAAGGGCGCUUGACUGCGAGACAGACAAGUCGAGCAGGUGGGAAACCAGGUCUUAGUGAUCCGGUGGUUCUGUAUGGAAGGGCCAUCGCUCAACGAAUAAAAGGUACUCCGGGGAUAACAGGCUGAUACCGCCCAAGAGUUCAUAUCGACG
rnacentral:rRNA from 1 species